CCUACGGGAGGCUGCAGUGGGGAAUAUUGCACAAUGGAGGAAACUCUGAUGCAGCGACGCCGCGUGAAUGAUGAAGGCCUUCGGGUCGUAAAAUUCUGUCCUAGGGGACGAUAAUGACGGUACCCUAGGAGGAAGCCCCGGCUAAUUACGUGCCAGCAGCCGCGGUAAUACGUAAGGGGCGAGCGUUGUCCGGAAUUAUUGGGCGUAAAGGGUUCGCAGGCGGCUUUUUAAGUCAGAUGUUAAAUCUCACGGCUCAACCGUGAUAAGCAUUUGAAACUGGAAGGCUUGAGUUAAGGAGAGGAAAGUGGAAUUCCUAGUGUAGCGGUGAAAUGCGUAGAUAUUAGGAGGAAUACCGGUGGCGAAGGCGACUUUCUGGACUUAUACUGACGCUGAGGAACGAAAGCAUGGGGAGCAAACAGGAUUAGAUACCCUAGUAGUC
rnacentral:rRNA from 1 species